rnacentral:misc_RNA from 1 species
AAGUCGUAACAAGGUUUCCGUAGGUGAACCUGCGGAGGGAUCAUUAACACUUGAAAAAGUCGCUUGUUGAAACACACAGCCGACUCUUUUCUAUACCAACCCUUACUCACGUGAACUAUAUUGACCCCGCAAAAGGUAUUGCUUUGUUGCUGUACCUUUUGUUUUACACAUGUUACACGCAUCUCUGUGUGUAAUGUGUGUUUUUUACUAUUUUUUCACUUCAAACCUUUUCCAAACCUAUGCAAAACAAAUGUACGAGUGUGUGUUCUUUGGAACUCAUGCUCCUCAUUUUUUUUAAUCAAAAUACUAAGUACAACUCUUAGCAACGGAUAUCUUGGUUCUC